rnacentral:rRNA from 1 species
GACGAACGCUGGCGGCGUGCUUAACACAUGCAAGUCGAACGGAAAGGCCCUGCUUUUGUGGGGUGCUCGAGUGGCGAACGGGUGAGUAACACGUGAGUAACCUGCCCUUGACUUUGGGAUAACUUCAGGAAACUGGGGCUAAUACCGGAUAGGAGCUCCUGCUGCAUGGUGGGGGUUGGAAAGUUUCGUCGGUUGGGGAUGGACUCGCGGCUUAUCAGCUUGUUGGUGGGGUAGUGGCUUACCAAGGCUUUGACGGGUAGCCGGCCUGAGGGGGUGACCGGCAACAUUGGGACUGAGAUACGGCCCAGACUCCUACGGGAGGCAGCAGUGGGGAAUAUUGCACAAUGGGCGGAGGCCUGAUGCAGCAACGCCGCGUGCGGGAUGACGGCCUUCGGGUUGUAAACCGCUUUCGCCUGUGACGAAGCGUGAGUGACGGUAAUGGGUAAAGAAGCACCGGCUAACUACGUG